rnacentral:ribozyme from 13 species
AAAAAGAAACAAAUUCUCACAUUUAAAAUUGAAGUCCUCUCAAAAAUCAAAACUCUCCCUCCCCCCUCUUCUCUUUUUCUUUUUUCUUUUUUCUUUUUCUCUUUCUUUCUCUUCUCUUAUCUCUCUCAAAGUUCCAAAAAGGAGGAA